rnacentral:rRNA from 1 species
AAGUCGUAACAAGGUUUCCGUAGGUGAACCUGCGGAAGGAUCAUUAAAGAAUGCCCCGUUUUUUGAAAUGGGUUCUGUUCCCAAACCGUGUAUACAUACUUUUGUUGCUUUGGCAGGCCGCCUUCGGGCGUCGGCUCACGCUGACAGCGCCUGCCAGAGGACCCAAACUCGUUUGUUUAGUGAUGUCUGAGUACUAUAUAAUAGUUAAAACUUUCAACAACGGAUCUCUUGGUUCUGGCAUCGAUGAAGAACGCAGCGAAAUGCGAUAAGUAAUGUGAAUUGCAGAAUUCAGUGAAUCAUCGAAUCUUUGAACGCACAUUGCGCCCCUUGGUAUUCCGAGGGGCAUGCCUGUUCGAGCGUCAUUAUGACCACUCAAGCCUAGCUUGGUAUUGGGGUUCGCGGUCCCGCGGCCCUUAAAAUCAGUGGCGGUGCCAUCUGGCUCUAAGCGUAGUAAUUUAUCUCGCUAUUGGGUCCGGUGGUUGCUUGCCAACAACCCCUAACUUUUAAGGUUGACCUCGGAUCAGGUAGGGAUACCCGCUGAACUUAA